CUCAAAGUUCAUCUGGUUCUUUCUUUCUUCAUUACCAUUCCUCUAUUUAUUCAAAUUCAGAUCAUCAAUCCAUAUCCAGAGCUGGCAGUCCUAACCAGGUAAGAAAUAGCCAAAGACCAUAUGUUUGCAUGAAAUAGAGCUUUCUCAUUUGGAUUUAAUUAAUUUAAUCCUCUCAAUCCCACAAUUUACUUUUAAACACACACACACUAUUUUACAUGCACACUGUUCUAGUCAGCUUUUCGUUGCUGUGAUUAAAAGAUCUGACCAGAACAAUUGUAGAGGAGGAAAAGUUUAUCUGAGGUCUCACCAUUUCAGAAGUCUCAGUUCAUAGAUAGGCAGCUCCAUUCCUCAGGGUUUGAGGUGAGGCACAACAUCAGCAGGGAAGAGUGUGGCAGAGGGAAGCUGCUCACAUGAUGAUCAGGAGGCAGAGAGACAGAGAAAGACUCCACUGGCCAGAUACAAAAUGACCAGAUACUCUAAUGACCCAUCUCUUCCAGCCACACCCUACUCACCUUUAUUUACCACUCUGUUAAUCCCCAUCCCCCCAUCAACAGAUACAUUCACUGAUUGGGUUAAAGCUCUCAUAACCCAUUCAUUUUUCUUCUAAACCUUCUUGCAUUAUCUUAUAAGUGAGCUUUAGGGGAGACAUCACAACCAACCCAUGACACACAUGCCCACAAGGGAUGGAUCAGUAACCACAUAGGUAUUUUUAAAAGCAAAGCUAACCCCAACAUACCAUAUGUUUGCUUUUAUUAUUUGCAGAUUGCCAAGGACCUCCUCCAACAGGAGAUGCAGAAAUUCUGUUAGGUUCCUGGCCUGACCAGCCUUAUCCAGAGGGUACUCAGGCUACCUACAAAUGCCACCCUGGCUACAGAACACUUGGUACCAUCAAAAGGCAUGCAGAAAUGGAGAAUGGGUGGCUCUUAAUCCAGGCAGGAUAUGUCAGAGAUGAAUGGAAGCCCAGGCGCUAACGCAGAUGACUGCAGAGACUUUCCCACCGGGCCUCAAGCCAAAACAACACAAAAAGCCACAGCUCCUGAGUCGGAGUUCCUCAGUGCAGCUCACUCUCAGGGGUGCCCAGAUGGGCCUGACAAGGUAGGUGCAGGUGCCAUUGAGGGGACACAGGCACUAGGUGGAGCCACAGUGUCAGGCAAAGAUCUGUUUUCCCUGUUUCAUCACCGCCCGGCGGGAACUGCGGAGGGCAGUACGAACUCACGACUCGGGGAUGCAGAAGAAGCAGCGAUGCUUGAGGCCACAGGUGUCUGACCUGUCCCCUCUUGGAUUCCAAAAGGCUGGAGUGGAAGAGGGAGGCUCUUUUACCUGACCCAGGGGCUCUCAUUACCACCGCGGACUUGGUGGGUUCUGCGGUGGCCUAAAGCUCCCAGGCAGCUGCAGAGGACAGGAGCUGCCACGAGGGGACAGCAGAACACCGGCGUUGACAGAGUGAGUUCUGUCUGCCAUAGUAGGAAUGGGAGAGACGUCUCUGUGCAGGGAACAAGGAUGCUCCAAGAGAGGCCUGGCAAGUUCUCUCCCCGAAGGCUCCAGAAGGAGUACAGCGUCCAGAUUUCCAAUAGAGGUCACCAGGGCCAGCCGGAGCUGACUCAUACAGGCUCACAAGAGCAGAUGGUUGAAUUUUUUAAAAAAUCUUCAAGCCCACUGGUAAAUAUAGCCUUUGUCAAAACUCACCUUAAAGAAAUUGUUUGAAAGCAAACAUACUCUAAAACUCAUCAUUUCUAAUUAUUUUGCUACUAUGUUUUAUGUUCCUGAGGUUAUUUACAUUUAUUCUGGUGGAAAUGCCAUAACACUGUUUUACUGCCGGCAGCAACAGAACAUCUUUAGUCUGAAACUGAUCAUGGAAGGGGAAUUUACACACCGAGGAAUCAACCCAUGCUGCAGAUCAGGGCUACUGCUGUUGCUCCUCUUCCUCCCCUGCCUCCUCCUCCUUCUUGUAGUGGGACUUGAACCCAGGUGCACUUUGCCACUGAGCUAGACCCCAGGCACUUUUUUUUUUUUUUUUUUUUUUUUUNUUUUUUUUUUUUUUGAGACAGGGUCUUGCUGAAUUUCUUAAGUCCUCAUUAAGUUGCUGAGGUUGACCUCCAAACUUAAAUCCACCUGCCUCAGCCUCCUGAGUGCUGGGGGUUAUAGGCGUGGCCGUCCCACCUGGGCUUACUGGGCUGCUUUUGGAGAGCCAGCACACCUCUGGGACCCACUCCCCUCCUAUACCCAGUUCUCCCAUCUCUUCUCUUAUCCAGCCAGCCACUCCUACCUCUUCAGAGAUGGGAAGAUAAAAGGCUUGGCUUUGACCUGUAGCUCUGAGAACACUUCAGGACUUUACCUGGAUAAGCAGACAUGGAGAGAGAACUUAGAAGAGCAUGUCAUUCAAAGGGAAAAUAUCAAGGCAGGGCAGCACGUUGCCCCUCAUCCUCCCCUGCUCCCCACUCCUCCCACAACUCGUGGCACCUACAGAGCAGGUGAAGGAAGAGAUGUUGAGCCUGAAGAAGAGGAGAUACCGCCAACUGUCUACCAAACAUUUGAAGGGCUGGGAUGUGAGUGAGAACUUCUCUAUCAGUAUCCAAGAUAAAAAAAAACCAAGGCCAAGACAUACAGAUUCAACUUAAUAUGAAGAACCUCAACUGAGCCAUUCGAAGAUGGGAUGAAAUGGUUCAUGAGUGCUGCCUCCUCCUCCAGUACAUGGGAUGCAUAAAAGAGAAUUUAAGACUCAUACAAAAGCCAUGCUGUCCACAGUCCAACAUCAUAGUGUUAGCUGAGAACUAGUUAGAAAUGCAGGACCUCAGGCUCCACCCCAGGCCUGCUGAAUCAGAAUCUAAAUUUUAACAAGACCCCAAAGUGACCUAUAAGAAACAGCAGUUUCAGAAGCUUCAAACUGAAUCAGAUGAAUUUGAGGUGGAGAUAUACUAUAUUAUUUCGUAUAAUGUAGUGGAAACUAUAGCAAUUGUUUCUUUAUGGAAACAAUCUGUAUUUGGGAGCUGGUUAGUACAUUAUAGCAAUCAAUGUGAUGGGAUAACUGUUCAUAUGGUAACAUGAAGGAGAUGAUUUUCAUUAACUGGUAGAGAUGAAAUCCAGGCUACAUUGUGAAGUGAGGAAAACAAAGUCAUUUCUAAAAUCAAAAUUUGUUCUAAAUCACCAAUAGAAUAGCUAAAAAUAAAAUUGAACCUGUAUAAGAAUCA
rnacentral:lncRNA from 1 species